AAUCGGAGAAGUUCUGGCUCAGUGCGGAUUGUAGGCUGCAACUCGCCUACAUGAAGUCGGAAUCGCUAGUAACCGUCGGUCAGCAUUACGACGGUGAAUACGUUCCCGGGCCUUGUACACACCGCCCGUCAAGCGAUGAGAGUUGGCUUUACCCGAAGCAGCUGGCCUAACCCGCAAGGGGGGGAGGCUGCGAAGGUGGUGUCAGCGAUUGGCGCUAAGUCGUAACAAGGUAGCCGUA
rnacentral:rRNA from 1 species